GUGCCUGUAGCUCAAAGGAGUAGAGUGCUGGCCCCAUAUGCCAGAGGUGGUGGGUUCAAACCCAGCCCUGGCCA
rnacentral:tRNA from 1 species